rnacentral:rRNA from 1 species
AGAGUUUGAUCCUGGCUCAGGACGAACGCUGGCGGCGUGCUUAACACAUGCAAGUGGAGCGACGAAGCGGGCUUCGGCCCGUGGCAGAGCCGCGAACGGGUGAGUAACACGUGGGUAACCCACCCCGAUGACCGGGACAACCCGAGGAAACUCGGGCUAAUACCGGAUGUUCUGACUUCCUGUAAGGGAAUUCAGCAAAGAUAGCUUCGGCCUUCGCAUCGGGACGGGCCCACGGCCCAUUAGCUUGUUGGUGGGGUAACGGCCUACCAAGGCGACGAUGGGUAGCUGGUCUGAGAGGACGAUCAGCCACACUGGGACUGAGACACGGCCCAGACUCCUACGGGAGGCAGCAGUGGGGAAUCUUGCGCAAUGCGCGAAAGCGUGACGCAGCAACGCCGCGUGGGGGAAGAAGGCCUUCGGGUUGUAAACCCCUUUCAGUUGGGACGAAGCUUCCAGGGUUAAUAGCUCUGUGGAGUGACGGUACCUUCAGAAGAAGCCCCGGCUAACUACGUGCCAGCAGCCGCGGUAAUACGUAGGGGGCAAGCGUUGUCCGGAAUCAUUGGGCGUAAAGCGCGUGUAGGCGGUUCGGUAAGUCCGCUGUGAAAGUCGGGGGCUCAACCCUCGGAUGCCGGUGGAUACUGUCGGGCUUGAGUACGGAAGAGGCGAGUGGAAUUCCUGGUGUAGCGGUGAAAUGCGCAGAUAUCAGGAGGAACACCAAUUGCGAAGGCAGCUCGCUGGGACGUUACUGACGCUGAGACGCGAAAGCGUGGGGAGCAAACAGGAUUAGAUACCCUAGUAGUCC